rnacentral:rRNA from 1 species
GACGAACGCUGGCGGCGUGCUUAACACAUGCAAGUCGAACGGAAAGGCCCUGCUUGCAGGGUGCUCGAGUGGCGAACGGGUGAGUAACACGUGGGUGAUCUGCCCCUUACUUUGGGAUAAGCCUGGGAAACUGGGUCUAAUACUGGAUAGGACCAUGCUGUAGGUGGUGUGGUGGAAAGAUUAGUUUCGGUAAGGGAUGAGCUCGCGGCCUAUCAGCUUGUUGGUGGGGUAAUGGCCUACCAAGGCGUCGACGGGUAGCCGGCCUGAGAGGGUGGACGGCCACAUUGGGACUGAGAUACGGCCCAGACUCCUACGGGAGGCAGCAGUGGGGAAUAUUGCACAAUGGGCGCAAGCCUGAUGCAGCGACGCCGCGUGGGGGAUGACGGCCUUCGGGUUGUAAACUCCUUUCAGCCAUGACGAAGCCUUCGGGUGACGGUAGUGGUAGAAGAAGCACCGGCUAACUACGUG